rnacentral:misc_RNA from 1 species
UUAAUUCAUUUACUUUAAGACUCAGACGCAGAGACGCAGAGUUUUGGUAUCGUCCACCGGGGGCCCCGGUCCGAAGACCGGGUCACCCCCGAGGCAACGAGGUUUCGAUUACAAAGGGUUGGAGGUCGAGCCAGAGGCCCUCACUCGGUAAUGAUCCCUCCGCAGGUUCACCUACGGAGA